rnacentral:rRNA from 1 species
GACGAACGCUGGCGGCGUGCUUAACACAUGCAAGUCGAACGAAGUGGCGAACGGGUGAGAAACGCGUAAUAAACAUGUCCUUCAGAGGGGGACAACAGUUGGAAACGACUGCUAAUACCGCAUACUGAAGGAGGGGAAUGCGUUUGUUUAGCUAGUUGGAGGGGUAACGGCCCACCAAGGCGAUGAUCAGUAGCCGGUCUGAGAGGAUGAACGGCCACAUUGGGACGUAGACACGGCCCAGACUCCUACGGGAGGCAGCAGUGGGGAAUCUUCCGGAAUGGACGAAAGUCUGACGGAGCAACGCCGCGGGAGUGAUGACGGCUUUCGGGUUGUAAAGCUCUGUUAAUCGGGACGCGGUACCGAAAUAGAAAGCCACGGCUAACUACGUGCCAGCAGCCGCGGUAAUAC